rnacentral:lncRNA from 1 species
CUGCAGUGCAAUACAUUUUAAAGAUUAAUGUAAAAAUGUCUUAGAGUGUAGUUACUCUUUAAGACGUAUUAAAGUAUCCGCUGGCAUGUGUGAAUUUCAAGUAAAUAAAGGUUCAGCAAACUAUAUAAAAUUGGUAUUGGGUCAUGGAGCACAAUCCAUAAGAUAUUGAUCUAAUAAUGUUCAGUUUGAAGCCUUAAAACACUCUUACACUUUCUUUUUAUUGAAUUUAUCUUGAGAGAUUUAAGCUUAAAUUUAAGAUCAGUAAAGCACUUUAAACACCAACACAUUUUCUGCAUAUUACCUUUCUUCUAGAAUCUUUUUGCUGACCAGAUUGUUAGUUAAUUGUUUACAAGUCAAUAUUGCCUAGAUGAACAGUGCUAAAAAAAAAGGAUGAAAUGCAGUCAAAAAUAUGGGUGCGUCUAAGAAAAAACUGGUACAACCGGUGCAAAAAGUCUUGAGCCUUGAGUACUUUGUACUGUUAGAUCCCACAGAAUCACUGUUGUUUUAUUAUAUAAUCACCAUUGUUUUUUAGUAGUAGAUCAGUAUAGGAUAUAUUCAGUUUUGUUUUGUGUUCUUUUAGAUGGAAAAUGCAUUAACUGCACAGAUGGGAGAUCACGGACUGGAUUGAUCGUUGUUCUGAUCUCAGUGGUUUUGGUGUUCAUCUGUGUUCUGAUCUGUGCAGGAGGUAUAGGACGUUCCUGUAGAUCAUCUCCCACCAGCAAUCAUUCCAUUGCUAACAAUACAGAAAUUCCAAACGGAUCACCAUCGUCCCACAGUGGUCAUCCUCCUGACGGUAAGUGUUACUGUAUUCAUUAUGAACUAUAUAGAAUUAAUGUGAUGCUAGAUACACAACUACAGUCUUAUAUA